rnacentral:rRNA from 1 species
CCUACGGGGGGCAGCAGUGGGGAAUAUUGGACAAUGGGCGAAAGCCUGAUCCAGCCAUGCCGCAUGUGUGAAGAAGGCCUUCGGGUUGUAAAGCACUUUCAGUGGGGAAGAAAGCCUUGGGGCUAAUACCCUCGAGGAAGGACAUCACCCACAGAAGAAGCACCGGCUAACUCCGUGCCAGCAGCCGCGGUAAUACGGAGGGUGCGAGCGUUAAUCGGAAUUACUGGGCGUAAAGCGCGCGUAGGCGGUCUGAUAAGCCGGUUGUGAAAGCCCCGGGCUCAACCUGGGAACGGCAUCCGGAACUGUCAGGCUAGAGUGCAGGAGAGGAAGGUAGAAUUCCCGGUGUAGCGGUGAAAUGCGUAGAGAUCGGGAGGAAUACCAGUGGCGAAGGCGGCCUUCUGGACUGACACUGACGCUGAGGUGCGAAAGCGUGGGUAGCAAACAGGAUUAGAUACCCCAGUAGUC